rnacentral:rRNA from 1 species
UAAGACAGAGGGUGCAAACGUUGUUCGGAAUUACUGGGCGUAAAGCGAGUGUAGGCGGUCUGUAAAGUCAGGUGUGAAAGCCCCGGGCUCAACCCGGGAAGUGCACUUGAAACUCACAGGCUAGAGUAUCGGAGAGGUUGGUGGAAUUCUCGGUGUAGAGGUGAAAUUCGUAGAUAUCGAGAGGAACACCGGUGGCGAAGGCGGCCAACUGGACGAAUACUGACGCUGAGACUCGAAAGCGUGGGGAGCAAACAGGAUUAGAUACCCUGGUAGUCCACGCCGUAAACGAUGGGUGCUAGGUGUCGCGGGCUUUGACUCCCGCGGUGCCGUAGCUAACGCAUUAAGCACCCCGCCUGGGAAGUACGGCCGCAAGGCUAAAACUCAAAUGAAUUGACGG